CUCAUCGCAUCCUGGGGCUGGAGAAGGUCCCAAGGGUCCGGCUGUUCGCCGGUUAAAGCGGUACGCGAGCUGGGUUCAGAACGUCGUGAGACAGUUCGGUCCUUAUCCACUGUGGGCGCAGGAGACUUGAGGGGUUCAAACCCUAGUACGAGAGGACCGGGUUUGACGCACUUCUGGUGUGGCAGUUGUUCCGUCAGGGGCAUAGCUGCGUAGCCAUGUGCGGAAGAGAUAAGCGCUGAAAGCAUCUAAGUGCCAAGCUCAUCCCAAGAUAAUGUCUCCCGGUCGCAAGACCCUAAAGACCACGGGCAGACUACCCGUUUAAUAGGUCAGGUGUGCAAACCCCGUGAGGGGAAAGCAGACUGAUACUAAUUGGUCGUGAGGCUUGAUUUCAAUUUU
rnacentral:rRNA from 1 species